CCUACGGGUGGCAGCAGUGGGGAAUAUUGGGCAAUGGGCGCAAGCCUGACCCAGCAACGCCGCGUGAAGGAAGAAGGCUCUCGGGUUGUAAACUUCUUUUAUCAGGGACGAAGCAAGUGACGGUACCUGAUGAAUAAGCCACGGCUAACUACGUGCCAGCAGCCGCGGUAAUACGUAGGUGGCAAGCGUUAUCAGGAUUUACGGGGUGUAAAGGGCGUGUAGGCGGGAAAGCAAGUCAGAUGUGAAAACCAUGGGCUCAACCGGUGGCCUGCAUUUGAAACUGUUUUUCUUGAGUACUGGAGAGGCAGACGGAAUUCGUAGAGUAGCGGUGAAAUGCGUAGAUAUUAGGAGGAACACCAGUGGCGAAGGCGGUCUGCUGGACAGCAACUGACGCUGAGGCGCGAAAGCGUGGGGAGCAAACAGGAUUAGAUACCCGAGUAGUC
rnacentral:rRNA from 1 species